AAUCUGAAUAUAGAGAAUAUUUAUCCAGAGAGACUUGUUUGUCAAAAAUUAUUCAUAAUAGAGUUGGCCUUGCAAUUAAUCUUACUUGUUUCUUUGAGAAGAUCAAAACAUAAUUUCUUUAGGAGAUAAAGAUGCCUUUCUUCAAGUUUGUUUUUCAUGUUCAUCAUCUCCUACAACAAUCAAAUCAUCAAUAUAGACCAAGGGCAGAGUAAAUUUAUCUUUCGGUGAAUACUUGAUGAACAAUGUAUGGACACCUUGACUCUUAUCGAUGCCCUACGGAGAUUAUAGCCAGAGCGAGUCUAUCUCCUUGUAAGGAUGUUUAUAGGAACAACAUAUUAAAAUAAAAUACAUAUCAAUAAAUGGGUUGGCAAUGGUUUCUUUAAGAAUAUUUUAAACCACAAAUUUUA